AAUGGAGGAAGAGAGAAGAGCACGAAAGGCUCUGACACACCAACCCAACGGCCGACCGUCAGCAGAAAAGGCAGACGGACUGAUCAUUCGGCUCCCGUCGGUCCAAAAAGCGACACCAAAGCGAUGCCGAUUUGAGUGUAUGUU